rnacentral:rRNA from 1 species
GAUGAACGCUGGCGGCAUGCUUAAUACAUGCAAGUCGGACGGGAAGAGGUGUUUCCUGUGGCGGACGGGUGAGCAACGCGCAAGAACGUGCCCUGUGGAGGGGAACCAUAGAUGGCAAGGGCUGCUAAUAGCCCGCAGGGCGAGGAGCAAAAGGAGGAAUCCGCCCGAGGGGGGGCUUGUGUCAGAUUAGCUAGUUGGAGAGUCAAUAGCUUACCAAGGCGCAGUACAGUAGUUGGUCCGAGAGGACGAUCAGCCACACUGCGACGGAGACACGCCGCAGACUCCUUCGGGCAGCAGGAGUGAGCAAUAUUCCGCAAUGCGCGAUAGCCUGACAGGGCCAUGCCACGUGGAGAUAGAGGGACCAGGGGUCGUGAACUGCUUAACCCGGAGAAGAAGCAAUGACGGUAUCUGGGGAAUAAGCAUCGGCUAACUAUGUG